GACGAACGCUGGCGGCGUGCUUAACACAUGCAAGUCGAACGGAAAGGCCCUGCUUUUGUGGGGUGCUCGAGUGGCGAACGGGUGAGUAACACGUGAGUAACCUGCCCUUGACCUUGGGAUAACUUCAGGAAACUGGGGCUAAUACCGGAUAGGAGCUCCUGCUGCAUGGUGGGGGUUGGAGAGUUUCGGCGGUUGGGGAUGGACUCGCGGCUUAUCAGCUUGUUGGUGGGGUAGUGGCUUACCAAGGCUUUGACGGGUAGCCGGCCUGAGAGGGUGACCGGCCACAUUGGGACUGAGAUACGGCCCAGACUCCUACGGGAGGCAGCAGUGGGGAAUAUUGCACAAUGGGCGGAAGCCUGAUGCAGCAACGCCGCGUGCGGGAUGACGGCCUUCGGGUUGUAAACCGCUUUCGCCUGUGACGAAGCGUGAGUGACGGUAAUGGGUAAAGAAGCACCGGCUAACUACGUG
rnacentral:rRNA from 1 species